UCCAAAGCCAACUGGCUAUACCUCUACCUACUCAGAAAAAUAGAUGAUAUAUGCAGAAACAGAUAAAGAAUAUAAAGUCGUCCAAUUGUCCUAAUCUCUGACUUUAUUGAGUGAGGUCUCUAUCAGGAGUUGGAUUUUCUUAUAUCACACUGAGUAGGUGUCUAGGAUACAGGGAGCAGAUGGCUGAUGUCAUUGAUUCUACAAUAUGGUAAUAUAGAACUAGUAGAAGGUUGUUUGUAAUUACAAAUUGUUGCAAUCUCUCUUCUCCUAAUUUUGGUUAAUGCAAUUCAAUAUAGGAGACAGUUUGAGUGAAGAAACUGAGUCAGAUAGCUGUCAGGUUAG